GAUGAACGCUGGCGGCGUGCCUAAUACAUGCAAGUCGAGCGAACAGACGAGGAGCUUGCUCCUUUGACGUUAGCGGCGGACGGGUGAGUAACACGUAGGUAACCUACCUAUAAGACUGGGAUAACUUCGGGAAACCGGAGCUAAUACCGGAUAAUAUUUCGAACCGCAUGGUUCGAUAGUGAAAGAUGGCUUUGCUAACACUUAUAGAUGGACCUGCGCCGUAUUAGCUAGUUGGUAAGGUAACGGCUUACCAAGGCAACGAUACGUAGCCGACCUGAGAGGGUGAUCGGCCACACUGGAACUGAGACACGGUCCAGACUCCUACGGGAGGCAGCAGUAGGGAAUCUUCCGCAAUGGGCGAAAGCCUGACGGAGCAACGCCGCGUGAGUGAUGAAGGUCUUCGGAUCGUAAAACUCUGUUAUUAGGGAAGAACAAACGUGUAAGUAACUGUGCACGUCUUGACGGUACCUAAUCAGAAAGCCACGGCUAACUACGUGCCAGCAGCCGCAGUAAAAC
rnacentral:rRNA from 1 species